UACGGGGGGGGCAAGCGUUGUUCGGAAUUACUGGGCGUAAAGGGCUCGUAGGUGGCCAACUAAGUCAGACGUGAAAUCCCUCGGCUUAACCGGGGAACUGCGUCUGAUACUGGAUGGCUUGAGUUUGGGAGAGGGAUGCGGAAUUCCAGGUGUAGCGGUGAAAUGCGCAGAUAUCAGGAGGAACACCGGUGGCGAAGGCGCCACUCUGGGCCGAAACUGACGCUGAGGAGCGAAAGCGUGGGUAGCAAACAGG
rnacentral:rRNA from 1 species